UACGUAGGGUGCAAGCGUUGUCCGGAAUUAUUGGGCGUAAAGGGCUCGUAGGCGGUCCGUCACGUCGGGAGUGAAAACUUGGGGCUUAACCCCAAGCCUGCUUCCGAUACGGGCAGACUAGAGUUCGGUAGGGGAGUCUGGAAUUCCUGGUGUAGCGGUGAAAUGCGCAGAUAUCGGGAGGAACACCCGUAGCGAAGGCGGCACUCUGGGCCGGUACUGACGCUGAGGAGCGAAAGCGUGGGGAGCAAACAGG
rnacentral:rRNA from 1 species